GCUUGUUCCGCUGUCAAGUCUGUCGUGACGCGGAAGAAGGAGGGCCUUGCCGUGCUGCGGGGGUUAAAACGAAGGGAGCUAAUGUUGCGAGUUGUUGAAACAAACAGAAGUUCAUUGCAAAACCAAAGAAGUUUGGCAUUCCCCAUUCAAGAGAGAUUUGUUUGCAACCUUCCCUGAUGUAAAGUCUUCAAGGGCGCUGCACUGCUGGAUGCAUUUGACUCACGAUUUACCAUUGAGAAGAACAGAGAAUGUGAAAUAGAAUGCAUAAGGAGGAUGUUGAAAAAAAUAGGCUGGAACAUUGAGCGAACUGUAGACAAGACCAAGGACCUGAAAACAACAUUUAAGCAGUUUAAAUUGUAUGAUCAAAUAAAUGCUACCAAUCGCUUCACUGACAUGAACUAAAUAAAAUAAGGCAGAACUGGAACUACCAAAACAAGAAGACCACAGGUCCCAAGGAGAAGUGUGGUUGAUAGGAACAAGAAGUGAGACUUUCAAGUGUGGCAAAUGUGAACAUUAGAUUUGCACAGGCAAGUCAAGACUAGAAGCAGGCCACACUGCAAAAGAUUCAUCAAAGAGUUCUACUGUCUUUAGGAGGUUAAAGGUUAAGACUGAAGACUGUGAGCAAAGGACAUCUGUGCUUUUAUCUAAGCAGGAUUAGUAUAUCAUGCAGGCAAUGCCAGCUCCAGCCCAUUUCCAAGGCAUCUGAUUUUAUUAUUUCAGCUCCUCUGGGAAGGUAACCUCAGAACUUCACGGCUUUCUACAAUCACACUGACCCCAAAUAUGGAACCUUCAGUCACAGAGCUACCAGACUGUGACACUGGUUUGUGAAUUUCAAGUACCGUCCAUCUGAAUACAAUGUAGCAGUUAGUUACCAAAAGCAAAAUAUCUAUUUCCUCACUAACCAGAACAAAACUAGGAUCUGAGCCAAAGUUCUUGUCUUCUUUAUCUGAACCAAAUCAAACUAGAGGAAUCACACACCAAGGAUAAAAGCAUCCCUUUGAAUUUACAGAUGUGAACUUCAACCUUUAAUGCAACAAUAUUAUUACAAUGCAGAGAGUGUCAAAAAAUAGCUUUGAUACAAUUGAUGAAUUGACAAUCUGCUUUCUGAAUGAUACAUAAAGCAAAAGAAAAUCAAACUGACCUCCAUUGCACUUUUUAGCUCUUUUGCAUCAAAUAAUGCUGGUGGCAACAUUAGAGCAAUGAUCACAUUUUUAAAGUCACCUGAGAGGUCGUCUUUUAAAUCAUCAAUCAAUUCCUGCAACAGAAAAACAUAUCAGGCAAACAAUAAUAAAAAUAAAAAUACAAAACCAACUGUGCAAUCAACAACUACUUGGACUGUUUCCCUCAACAAUCAUCUAUGACCUCCAUGCUGGAUUGGGGGCCAGCCCCUCCCAUCAGUGUUCACUCAGUGGAAGCCGAGCUGGAUUGUGUGUGUUGUGUGCGCGCGUGCAUAUUUUUUUGUCUGCAGUCUGCUGAGAACUGCUUGUUCUUGCAGAUAAUAUCCAUGCAUUAUCAAUUUACAGGACAUGUCACUCAGGACUUGGGCUCUAUUUUUUUUUAUGUGGUUACAUGUCAGGCUCUAACAUACAUGUGCUAUUUGUGCCUUGUGCUGUGUAAACAGUUGGUACUAUA